UACGGAAGGUCCGGGCGUUAUCCGGAUUUAUUGGGUUUAAAGGGAGCGCAGGCGGCAUAUUAAGCGUGACGUGAAAUGCGGCGGCUCAACCGUCGAUGUGCGUCGCGAACUGGUUUGCUUGAGUGCGUGCGAGGAUGGCGGAAUUCGUGGUGUAGCGGUGAAAUGCUUAGAUAUCACGAAGAACUCCGAUUGCGAAGGCAGCUGUCCAGUCCGUAACUGACGCUAAUGCUCGAAGGUGCGGGUAUCGAAC
rnacentral:rRNA from 1 species